rnacentral:rRNA from 1 species
AUUGAACGCUGGCGGCAGGCCUAACACAUGCAAGUCGAACGAGUGGCGGACGGGCGAGAAAUGUCUGGGAAACUGCCUGAUGGAGGGGGAUAACUACUGGAAAAGGUAGCUAAUACCGCAUACCAUCGGAUGUGCCCAGAUGUGAAUAGCUAGUAGGUGGGGUAAAGGCUCACCUAGGCGACGAUCCCUAGCUGGUCUGAGAGGAUGACCAGCCACACUGGAACUGAGACACGGUCCAGACUCCUACGGGAGGCAGCAGUGGGGAAUAUUGCAAAAUGGGCGCAAGCCUGAUGCAGCCAUGCCGCGUGUAUGAAGAGGGCCUUCGGGUUGUAAAGUACUGUCAGCGGGGAGGCGUUACCCGAAGAAGAAGCAGCGGCUAACUCCGUGCCAGCAGCCGCGGUAAUAC